rnacentral:rRNA from 1 species
UACAGAGGUCCCAAGCGUUGUUCGGAUUCAUUGGGCGUAAAGGGUGCGUAGGUGGCGCUGUAAGUCGGGUGUGAAAUUUCGAGGCUUAACCUCGAAACUGCAUUCGAUACUGCGGUGCUUGAGGACUGGAGAGGAGACUGGAAUUCAUGGUGUAGCAGUGAAAUGCGUAGAGAUCAUGAGGAAGACCAGUGGCGAAGGCGGGUCUCUGGACAGUUCCUGACACUGAGGCACGAAGGCCAGGGGAG